UACAGAGGGGGCAAGCGUUGUUCGGAAUUACUGGGCAUAAAGGGCGCGUAGGCGGCCUGUUAAGUCGAACGUGAAAUCCCCGGGCUCAACCCGGGAACUGCGUCCGAUACUGGCAGGCUCGAAUCCGGGAGAGGGAUGCGGAAUUCCUGGUGUAGCGGUGAAAUGCGCAGAUAUCAGGAAGAACACCCGUGGCGAAGGCGGCUCUCUGGGACGGUACUGACGCUGAGACGCGAAAGCGUGGGGAGCGAACAGG
rnacentral:rRNA from 1 species